rnacentral:rRNA from 1 species
GUCUACGGCCAUACCACCCUGAACGCACCCGAUCUCAUCUGAUCUCGGAAGCUAAGCAGGGUCGGGCCUGGUUAGUACUUGGAUGGGAGAAAUAGACAUUUUGCUCGUGAAGGUUCAGGAAAGAUU